GUAUUCUUCACUGAUCUCCAUGGCAUGACAUUUCCAGGAGGGAGGAUACAGCACAAGCCAAGAUAACUACAAGAUGAUUACUGCAGAUGUUGGAAUGGUCCUCACAAAAGGUCCACCCAUCAUGAUUUGGCAGUGAAAUUAUCAGCAGAACAAAGAAGAGAAUAUACAUUUAAAUAUAGGUAUGAUGCCUAAAGGGGAGAGGACACAAGACACACAAAGUGCUGGAAGUUAAGAGAAAAGCGGAGAAGCACAGAACAACAAGAUUGAUGAAAGUACCUUUUAAAAGGAAAAUACCUUAUGGAAGAUAACAGAUAUCUUAGGGGAAGGAGCUGAAGCAAGUAAAUAUAGUUCAUUUGAGAGAGAAAACAAAAAGAAUUUGAUUUCUGCUUCUAAGAAGGAAGAGGAGAGGAAAAGGAAGAGGAGAGAGUUGGGGAGACCAUUCUAAAAGGUUUGUAACAAUAGGAUACAACUUGGGCUGAUGUGUGGCUCCAGAAACUACUCUUGUGUUAGAGAAGCCACAGGUCUUUCCAACAGGGAGAUCAUGUGAUCGUCAGUUUCUAGUUUCUGUUAAUCUGUGUGGGAUGGCUGGAUAGCCCAUUAACUGAACACCUUCUGUUGAAGCACAAAGCCAGAAACCAGGCAAAAUGCCAAUAAUAUUAGCCUCCCUGGAAAUUCAGAGAAGUAGGGAGAGGCCUU